AAACUUAAAGGAAGUUGACGGGGCCCGCACAAGCAGCGGAGCGUGUGGUUUAAUUCGAUGUUACGCGAAAACCUUACCCGGGCUUGACAUGCAGGUAGUAGGGAACCGAGAGGGGACCGACUCUUCGGAGAGCCUGCACAGGUGCUGCAUGGCUGUCGUCAGCUCGUGCCGUGAGGUGUCCGGUUAAGUCCGGUAACGAGCGCAACCCUCGCCAUAUGUUACAAGUGUCAUAUGGGACUGCCGAUAUAAAGUCGGAGGAAGGUGGGGAUGACGUCAAGUCAGCAUGGCCUUUAUGUCCGGGGCUACACACACGCUACAAUGGCCGGUACAAUAGGUAGCAAGACCGCGAGGUGGAGCAAAUCCCAAAAAGCCGGCCUCAGUGCGGAUUGCAGUCUGCAACUCGACUGCAUGAAGUUGGAAUCGCUAGUAAUCGCAGAUCAGCACGCUGCGGUGAAUAAGUUCUCGGGUUUU
rnacentral:rRNA from 1 species